UGGGGAAUAUUGGACAAUGGGGGGAACCCUGAUCCAGCGAUGCCGCGUGAGUGAAGAAGGCCUUCGGGUCGUAAAGCUCUUUAGGUUGGGAAGAAGUGCAGUGGUUUAAGAGACGACUGUAUUGACGGUACCGACAGAAUAAGCACCGGCAAGCUCUGUGCCGGCAGCCGCGGUAAUACAGAGGGUGCGAGCGUUAAUCGGAAUUACUGGGCGUAAAGGGCGCGUAGGCGGUGCUAUGAGUGUGAUGUGAAAGCCCCGGGCUUAACCUGGGAAGUGCAUCGCAAACGAUAGAACUGGAGUAGAUGAGAGGGUGGCGGAAUUUCCGGUGUAGCGGUGAAAUGCGUAGAGAUCGGAAGGAACGUCAAUGGCGAAGGCAGCCACCUGGCAUCAUACUGACGCUGAGGCGCGAAAGCGUGGGUAGCGAACAGGAUUAGAUACCCUGGUAGUCCACGCUGUAAACGAUGAGGACUAAAUGUUGCUAGGGGAACCUAGCAGUAUUGAAGCUAACGCGAUAAGUCUUCCGCCUGGGAAGUACGGCCGCAAGGUUGA
rnacentral:rRNA from 1 species